UCACCAGGACACCACUGUCAACAAGUAGGAACCCUACAGCCCUUACAGUCUGAACAAGUAGCCACCCUACAGCACCCUACAACACCCUACAGUCUGAACAAGUAGGCACCCUACAGUCUGAACAAGUAGGCACCCUACAGUCUGAACAAGUAGGCACCCUACAGCACCCUACAACACCCUACAGUCUUAACAAGUAGGCUCCCUACCAGUCUUAACAAGUAGGCACCCUACAUCUUAACAAGUAGGCACCCUACAAGACCCUACAAUCUUAACAAGUAGGCAUCCCACAGCACCCUACAGUCUGAACAAGCUGCAGCAGCUGUACUCUGAGGCCGUUCUGAUUCUGAGUGACUUACUGGAAGAAGAUUUGAUUGAAAUGGAACAGAAAGCACUGAGAGAGAGGAAAAUCAAAAUGAGGGCGUAACAACAGGUACAGGAACAGGGAUCCGACUGAGAGCUUCUGAGAGCUGAAAUCCUUGUUCAUUUGCAUACUGGUAUUCAAAUUAAAAAAAGAGGACAUGUUGGCACGUUUUUAUAAAGCUGUCUGUCAGGUCUUUGUUGUGGGUUGGCUAUGGUGAUGUCCAUUCCAUUGGCCUAGAGUUGGCAGAGAAUGGUCUUCAAAAUGUCUCCAGGAUCCAUCCCAAAUGGCACUCUAUUCCCUAGAUAGUGCGCUACUUUUUUUGACCAGAGCCCCAAGGACCCUGUUUAAAUAAGUGCACUAAGUAGGGAAUGGGUUCCAUUUGAGGCUGUCAGCCAGGCAGGGAGAGUCCAGUCCAGAUGGCCCACAUAGUCAUGUCUGUACUCAGGUUUGGGGCCACUGUGAGGUAGGCUACUAUCUGUAGAAUCCGGAGGCCCACGUAACCCCUCUGUCUACUGGUGAACAGCCACAGACAGGCACAACACGUCAUCUGUUACACGGGGACUUUAUAUGGAGUUCUGGAUGAUUCAUUC
rnacentral:lncRNA from 1 species